rnacentral:rRNA from 1 species
CGUGUAGGCGGCCUCUUAAGUCUGAUGUGAAAGCCCGGGGCUUACCCCCGGAAGGGCAUUGGAAACUGGGAGGCUCGAGUACCGGAGAGGAAGGUGGAAUUCCUGGUGUAGCGGUGAAAUGCGUAGAUAUCAGGAGGAACACCGGUGGCGAAGGCGGCCUUCUGGACGGAUACUGACGCUGAGACGCGAAAGCGUGGGGAGCAAACAGGAUUAGAUACCCUGGUAGUCCACGCCGUAAACGAUGGGCACUAGGUGUUCGGGGUAUUGACCCCCUGAGUGCCGCAGCUAACGCAUUAAGUGCCCCGCCUGGGGACUACGGCCGCAAGGUUAAA